GACGAACCGGGCAAACGUUAUUCGGAAUCACUGGGCUUAAAGGGUGCGUAGGCGGCCCUGUAAGUUGGGUGUGAAAUCCCUCGGCUCAACCGAGGAAUUGCGCCCAAAACUACAGGGCUUGAGGGAGACAGAGGUGAGCGGAACUGAUGGUGGAGCGGUGAAAUGCGUUGAUAUCAUCAGGAACACCAGUGGCGAAGGCGGCUCACUGGGUCUCUUCUGACGCUGAGGCAAGAAAGCUAGGGGAGCAAACGGG
rnacentral:rRNA from 1 species